UCGCCUGNUUUUCAAAAACAUUUUUAUUAGUAAAAAUUAAUAAUAAAGUCUGCUCAAUGAAAAUUAAAUAGCCGCUUUUGUGCUAAGGUAGCAUAAUAAUUUGUCUUUUAAUUAAAGACUAGAACAAAAGACUUAACAUCUCAAUUAAUUUAAAUAUCAAAAACAUUUAAAUUAUCUUAAUUGUAAAAAGACAAUUAUCAAAAAGAAAGACGAUAAGACCCUAUCGAACUUCACUUUAGUUAAACUGGGGCAGUUAAUUAAUUAUUAUUUUAAAAUAACAAAAUAUUUAAUUUGACCUAAUAUAAUUAAUCAAAUAAUCAAGUUACCGUAGGGAUAACAGCGUAAUAAAAUUUUCAAGAUCUUAUUUAAAAUAAAGAUUGCGACCUCGAUGUUGAUUUAAUUUCCUAGUCAUCUCUUAACGCAAUAGUAACCCAAGGAAGUCGUCGCUAA
rnacentral:rRNA from 1 species